UACGGAGGGGGCUAGCGUUGUUCGGAAUUGCUGGGCGUAAAGCGCACGUAGGCGGACUGAUCAGUCAGGGGUGAAAUCCCGGGGCUCAACCCCGGAACUGCCUUUGAUACUGUCAGUCUGGAGGUCGAGAGAGGUGAGUGGAAUUCCGAGUGUAGAGGUGAAAUUCGUAGAUAUUCGGAGGAACACCAGUGGCGAAGGCGGCUCACUGGCUCGAUACUGACGCUGAGGUGCGAAAGCGUGGGGAGCAAACAGG
rnacentral:rRNA from 1 species